UAGGGAAUCUUCCGCAAUGGGCGAAAGCCUGACGGAGCAACGCCGCGUGAGUGAUGAAGGUCUUCGGAUCGUAAAACUCUGUUAUUAGGGAAGAACAAAUGUGUAAGUAACUAUGCACGUCUUGACGGUACCUAAUCAGAAAGCCACGGCUAACUACGUGCCAGCAGCCGCGGUAAUACGUAGGUGGCAAGCGUUAUCCGGAAUUAUUGGGCGUAAAGCGCGCGUAGGCGGUUUUUUAAGUCUGAUGUGAAAGCCCACGGCUCAACCGUGGAGGGUCAUUGGAAACUGGAAAACUUGAGUGCAGAAGAGGAAAGUGGAAUUCCAUGUGUAGCAGUGAAAUGCGCAGAGAUAUGGGGGAACACCAGGGGCGAAGGCGACUUUCUGGUCUGUAACUGACGCUGAUGUGCGAAAGCGUGGGGAUCAAACAGG
rnacentral:rRNA from 1 species